rnacentral:lncRNA from 1 species
UUUUUUAUACUACCACCCGCGUCAUUUUCACAAAAUUCAUGUAGGUUUCAUCGAUUUUACAUCAGUUCUUUUGCAUAUUCAUCGAUUUUCUCAAGUCACGAGCAUUCAAAUUCACUUCAUCAAUUUAUAUACGUACUUAGGUCCUAAUUCAUUCAGGUGCAGUGUGUUAUACUUGUAUUUGACCUAUAUGUGUUAUCCAAAUGCCUCCUAAGCAUGCCAAGACUACGGUAAAAAGUAUGAGGAUUCUAUUUCAUUCGAUAGUUCAAGAUUUAUCUUUUUUGUUGCUCAGGAGGUUUUUAAUUCCGAGUUCUCGUCCCGUUUGGUACUGUAUGAGAGAAAGGUAAAACAUUCCAAACUUCUUCCAGAUAUGGCUUCUAUCUUUAUUUCUCGUAGGUGGAAGCCUAUAUUUUGUCGGUUGACUUCUUCAUCUAAGCUUCUAGGCCGAGAGUUCUUUACAGAUAUCCAUGACAUAAAUAGGUCGUCAUUUAAGUUAUUUCUUAAGGGUCAGGUUGUGAGGAUUAAUCUCCAUGUUAUAUCUCGCAUUAUCAAUAUUCCUCGAAUUAUUCAUCCCCAGUUUCCAUUUUGACAACUGCUAUUCCUUCCUUUCUGCUUUUAGCGUCGACUUUGUUUAAUCAUCCUAUAGCAAUUGUCCAUGGACCAAUUGCCACAGGUGCUUUACCUACUGAGCGAUAGGUCCUUCUAUGCAUCCAGUGCACGACCUUGUGACCUGUUUCCCAAAAGUCUAGCUUACUUCUUGACAAAGCAUGAUUUUUUUGUGCCCUUCUACAAGACGACUCUAAUGAUCUCCCUUUUUCCAUUGUAUAGCAUAUGUUGGAGGGUUUUUAGCCAUAGCCAUAAAAAGAAGGGUUUACCAUACGGAUGUGUGAUAUAGUGCCUAGUGUUGAUUUUUGAGGUCAAUCUUCCUGAAGCUCAUGAGCGGUUGGGGUUGCUUAUUAGCCAACUCACUAUUGUUCAGAGUCAAUCUUAUGCUCCAACCGCUGCUCUUAUUCUAGAUGAUACUCCAUCAUCUUCUAGGGAACCUUUCCCAUCUUCUUCGAUCCUAUUUCUUCCAUCUACUCCAUCUGGUCUUGUGGACUCUUCAGUUGCCAUUAUGGGUUAGUAUCCCUGGUUAUUGAGUAGCAGGCUCAUAUGAUGAUCGAUAUUACAUCAUUUCGAUCCAUUUCUGACUGGCUUAUAGCAGAUGUUCAGUGAAUUCGAUAGCACUUAGAGGGGGGAUCUGACUCUAAGUCAGUUAUUGAUGGUGAUUCCAGUUAGGUUGCUGGUACCCCUUUGUUAUUUGUGACAAAAAGGGAGAAUAGUAUUGAUUCAAGGGGAGUAAUAGAGUAGUAGUAUUUUAUUUGAUAUUUGGCUAGCAAAUAGUUGAUCUUGAUGGUUUGUAGUCUAUUAAUAUUAUAUUUGGUAUUUUGUAUAAUUUCGAUAUCAUAUUUUGAUAUUGCUAGCUCAGUAUAUUUUUAAGUUUACUGAUAUAAUAUUUUGAUAGAUUCUAUCUCAAUUGUUGCGUGUAAAUUUUUAUCAAUUUCCAUGUACUUUGUACUUGGUAUUGUUUGAGUUGAUUUAUUUCAUGAAACAGGUAUGAGAAAACAAUUGAGACGCAAUUCUAGUUUUGAAUCAUUGAGUUGAUAUGCAUUAGGUUGUGUUCACUAUUUAAUUAUGAAAUAAAUGAUUUUGCCACGGAAUGUUAAAGGGUGAGUUCGUUAGGUCUACAGUGUAUUGGCAAAGUUUCACAAAGUCAUUUUAUCGAGUUGUAUUUAGGGUUAAGUUGUCAGGAGUUGGAAGUGUCUUUGAAAAGAAUCAAAGUCAACUCAAGAAGAUCAAGUCAUGGCAAAAAAUGCUCGAAGAUCGCCAAGUGAGCCACUCAGUUUUAGCUGGACUUGACCUCCUGCUGAACGUCCAAGGAUGAUCAAGUGGUUGUGUCAUUCGAGCAAAACCUAGUUUUUGAUUUUUUACAACCCCAAACAACCCAUAACUAUCUAAUACUAUAUAUAACGAACAAAAUUUCGUCCCGAAAGAGUAUUGAGCCAUUAUUCAUUAAAGAGAACAUCCAGUUGAAGAUCAAACAUUGAUUCUAUAUUUCUCUUGCAUCAACAAGAAGAUCAAAACAACGAAACACCAAAAAGAUUAAAAACACCAAUAAACCUCUGCCGAACAUCUUUUAGAGUUUUAUAGAUCAAGAGAAGUGACUGCGGUUAUGGUUUGUGAAGAACAAGUUCAUUCUUGAUGAUACACUUGGAGAAAAAAGUCCAAAUAUUCUGGAGCUGGUGCCGGAGAACACAAUCGAGGAGUUCUUUGGUGAUUACAUGUUGAGGGUCAAAGUUUACUAAGGUUUAACUAUAUCUGGAACAAUGUUGUAUGUUGAUUCUUUUCUAUUAAAUUAUUUACUGGCACCUAGAUGUUUUUUCUCUUGAAGAUUCUUCAAGAUUUUUCCUUCGUAAAUAAUUAUUGGUGUUCUUUAUUUUACAACUUCGAUAUUCAUGCUUGAUUGAUUGC